GUUUGUGUCAGGCAGCUCUCUCUAAGCAGCCUGGCGUGACGGAUUAAACAUCAACUAGUUAAAUAAAAAUUAAUAUCAACUGCCUCCUAACUUCUAAUGUCAUGUUGUUUAUAACUAAUGAACUGAUUAGGGGAUAAACACAUCAGGAAGACAUUUCUGCUUCCCUGCUCUUUCGAGAGAGAUUUGCUGAAUUCAAAGUAAAUCUCCCAGAGUCCCUCCUGGGUUUUUCCCACAGCACUUUGGGGGGGGGGGGGGGAUUCCGUGGGGCUCCUUGGGGCCAGGUCGAGCACUCCGGUGUGCGUGGGGGUUAGCCGGACUUAUUUAAAGCUCGCCCGGCGGCAGCAGCACGGCUCAGAGCGGCAGCAGCAACGGGGCGAGGAUGCGCUCAGGGCAGCCCCGGCGCCUGCUGCCCAGCCCGGCUGGAAACGGCGUGGCAGAAAAAUACCCGCUGCCGCCGUCGUUGGCUUUCGGCGCCCCGUUUUAAUAUUGAAAAUGGAACUUUUUUUUUCUUUGCUCGAAGCGACAAUCGAUGGGGUUUAAGUGUUAUGAAGGAAAGCGCUCCCCGCACCUUCUUUAUUUUAACGCUGAUCCACUUGGCUGUGGCGUGCUCCUCGCCAGCCCGCGUUGUACACAUUUUCCUAAGCACUUUAGAAAAAGAAACACGCGCACACACACAAACCCCCCAGCAGCCUCAUCUUGGAGAGGUCCCAAGCUUUUAAAUACUGUUUGCCCAGCACCGCCGGCUCUGACAAGACAAUAAUAACAGGGGAAGCUUUUUAAAACCAAUUUAGCAAAUGCAGAAAUGUAAUUUUAAUGAAGAAUCGAUAGCAGAAUGGUUCAUUUUUCCUGGGACUCCUUGUUGGAGCUGAGCGAGACUUUCAAUCAAUGGGGAGAUGGAAGAGGGGGGGAGAAAGAGAGAAAGAAAAAUAUCCGCUCGGUGAUGUCUUUAGCACGGGGAAUUUUUCUUAUUUUCUCUGCCGUGUGCGCUUUCCUUUAUUCUCUCUUCCCAACCGAGAAGCCUGCACCGAAACGCGGCGGCGGAGCGCGGGGCGGCCGAGCGGACGGACGGACGGACGGACAGACGGCGCCCGCUCUCCCGGAGCCCAGCGCCGGGCGCUCGCCGGGGCAGCCCCCGAGUGUCGCCCGCCGCAGCCCCAGCGAGCGGAGGGGCCCCUGACCCGGACCCCCCCCUCCCCGCCCCAACCCCGGGAGCUGUCCGGGCACCCCCCCCAGGAGCCGCCCGCCCCCGCGGCGAGCCCGCCGCCUCCUGCCCAAGUCCCAGGAAGUUCCUCCCCUGUCCUGCCUCGUCUCCUGUCCCCUUCCCCCGCCAACCCCUCUCCGAGCACAUUUUUAUGGUAAUAAGAUAACAAAUUAAUGUGCUGCCGCAACAAGGCUCCCCCACAGGUAGCCGCUUUGUGGGAGGGGGGCACGGGGGAUCGGAACCAGGGGCCGGGCGCUGCCCCCCCGCGCGGACCCCCCCGGUCCCCGUUCCUCCCCGGCUGCACAGCCCUGCCGCACUGGAGCAGAUCUCGAAAGUCAGCGGGGGAAAGCAAGACACCCAAGCGGGGAGGAGAGAAGCGAAGAAAAGGCCGCGGCGGAUCUCCUGGCUUGCAGCGUCCCGGGGAGACGGGCCAUUAGGCAGGGGAGCCAUGGCUCAGAGCUCAGGGAGAGCAGGGAUUUUGGGGGGGGGGGGGGGGGGGAAGAACGGAAAGGCAAAUGGAGGCUGGAAAUGCAAGCGUCGCCGACUGCCAGCACAGAGCCGUGCCGCUGCCCUGCCUGCGAACCGUUCGCUUCCAGGGGAGGCUCGGGAAGAAAGGCUCCGGCGUGCGUCUGGAGCCGGGGCUCGCAGCUCCUCCGCCUUUUGUCAUUGCGGGGCGGGAUGGUCCCCGACCAGGGAGUGCUGCGGGUGCACGACCGGACAGACACGGACAGGAGGC